GCAGUUUUGUUUAUAAUUUAAGCUGAGAAAAGGCAGAAAAAGUAAAAAUUAAAUUUCGUUUCAGUAAUAAUAACUAAUGUGAAACUAAGUAGACAGUUAUAUGAACACCAUCUUACAAAAGUAGUUAUAUGACGUUUCCAAUGUUAAGUUUGGUGGAAAGCACAUGGUCACACUGCGGCCGAUUCAAAGCGUGUUUUCAAUUUACCAAUUAUUGUUAUUUGGUGGAAACGUAAUAAAGAUAUUAUUUUUGGGAUGCAAUGUGCGUUUUGGGUGGCGCCUGUUAUCGGGGCGUGUGGGCAUAACACAGCCCGCAAAUAGUUGGCACCUCGCGUCUUCAUUGGAUUCUCAAUUUUAAAUGUAUAUUUAUAUUUAUGCUUGCUUGCAGUUCCCUGGCUUUUUCUCGCCCUGCAAAUUUUCCCGCCUUGUUUUCCCACCGUUUGUGUGUAGGUGUGUGUGCUCCACUUGCAAGCCAGUGCACAUUUCUCGUGCACUCUGAAUCAUUACUAAGAUCUUAAAUAAAGUUUAAGUAUAUAUAGUUAAGUAUAGUUAAAUAUAGAAAACUUUUUUUCUACAUUUCAAUCCCUCUCUCUGGAAUAGACCUAUUUUACACCACGCCAUUUCUACUUUGUUUAAAAAUCAUAACUUUGCUAAUUUCUUUCAGU
ensembl:ncRNA lncRNA:CR44556 long non-coding RNA:CR44556